rnacentral:other from 1 species
UGGGCCCUGCGCUGUUCGUGAACAUGGUGAAGAGCCUUGAGCCAACACUCGACCCGCGGAGGUCGCUUUCCGGAUCGGCAGAGGAGGCUUCAGCCGACCAAGCUCAGAUCCGGUAGACUUCCACAUAAUAGGAUCGGGUCAAGGCCUUCGUGUCACGGCAGCCGCGGGGAACCC